rnacentral:rRNA from 1 species
UACAGAGGGGGCAAGCGUUGUUCGGAAUUACUGGGCGUAAAGGGCGCGUAGGCGGCCUGUUAAGUCGAACGUGAAAUCCCUGGGCUCAACCCAGGAACUGCGUCCGAUACUGGCAGGCUUGAAUUCGGGAGAGGGAUGCGGAAUUCCAGGUGUAGCGGUGAAAUGCGCAGAUAUCAGGAGGAACACCGGUGGCGAAGGCGGGUCUCUGGGCCGAUAUUGACGCUGAGGAGCGAAAGCGUGGGGAGCGAACAGG